AUUCAGACUUGCCGUAUUUUUUUUUUGUUACUGAUGCCAAGUUAGUGUAUCUAUAAAAAACACCUGCACUUUCUCCUCUAAACCUACACAAUGGUGUUUUGUGAAAGAUGAGCUCAGCUUUUGUUGGUCUGACAAAAGAAAACCUCUGUGCUGAGCUGCAACACGCUGACACAUCCCUGCCCUUCAUGGAGUCAGAGGACGCUCAGACGGCGUCAGUUUGUACCAGGAAAAGAGGUACCAGGAACAAGACG